GUCAGAUCAGAUAGAGAAAGUGCAAAUUCUGGGAGCAAACAGAAGUUCAUGAGAACUUUAAGGAAAUUCUCAGAAAUGCCAGAAGUCUCCAGGAAUGAAGGACAGAGAGAAGAGCAAAUGUCUGUCAUCAACCUUGAUUGGGAUACAUCAACACAGCACCACUUCAAUUCACUCCUACAAACACCUGAGCUACUACUGUUGUGCCUAUAUCCCAGCGUUUCACUGACCCAAGGACUACAGAGAGAUCAUGGCCUGCACUUCAUUGGUAUACAGGAGACAUGCAUGGAACCGUGAAAAUAACUGUGUGUACACAUUCUCCUCCACUGCAACAAGACCAUCACCUGUUUCAUAAUGAUAUGAUGGACCAAAUCACACCCAUCUAUUCUGGACAAUAUCUGAAACUUACACACAUGCAGAUAAUAAUGCUCUACUCUGUCUAGUAGACUGUUAAUGGACAAUGAUAAGCAGAAUUAACUCUAAGUCAUUAUGUUAAAACCUUUCCCAUGGAAAAGAAAUAAUGGGAAUUAUGGUAAAUUUUCUGCAAGCUCAACAGAAGGCUGAAGUUAUCUCAAAAAAGAUUCAAUGUAGAAAAAGAUUCAAUGUAGUAGUGUCUGAUAUAUGCAGUAUAGUAACCAUAUAUAAUAAACAUUUAUAAUGGUUAUUGAUAUAUGUUUUCCCACCAUAGAUACAACUUUGUGGAACUAAUUCCAGAAUAAGGCAAUACUGCUGCAAUUAAAAGCUGUCAGAAACUCAUUUAUAGGCUCAGAGAGCAUGAGAAAGAGAUGGAACAGUUAUCGCUGGAGAGUAACAAAGGUUUUAUCCAUUCAUUCCUCUCUUUCUGAUCUAUUUCAUCUGUACUUGUUUGUUUCCAUUAAGUAUAAUUUUAAUUACAAAUCAUGGUCCAGCUCAGCUGUUUUCUAUGUAUUCAGCCAUACCAAGCUGGGCAGUUUUUUCAUGAUCUACCAAAGAUUAAGUAGGGUUAAACUAGGUCAUCACUAAGGUGGAAUGAAACCCCUGAUGCUAAAAUGAUUUUUUUAAGAGACUGAGCUUUUCUACUACAUGUCUGCUUGGAAAUUUGCAGUUACUUUCCAGUAACAUAUUUGGACAUACAGAUUUGCUUUAUUUAAAAUGAUAGAAUGUUAUUUAAUUUGACAAAAAAAAUACAAAAUAAAUGGAUUUAUAUAUAUUUUUUUAUCUUUUCAUUAAAAUAUAAUUACACAGAAAAAAAAAAUCAGUUACAAUAGUUUUGAUAAUGACUUCAUCUAACGUGUUUCAGGGUUAUCAUUCAAGUCCCUUAUUUGGCUGAUUUCUAAAACUGACUGUACAGAUUCAUUUCCAUCAGUUGACCAUAUUUUGCUAUGGUUUUCAUAAGCAAUAAAGUAAUUUUUUAAAAGACUAUACCAGAAACCAGAUGGAGUAUGCUUUCCGUGUCCCUGAGAUAAUAGUUGCAGAUUCAGUUGAAAAAUGUUUCCUAUUUCUGCACUAUGCAAAGCAGCAAAAUUUUAGUCUACAAGUUUAGCCUUUAAGUAUGGGACUUAUGUGCUGUGUAUACCUGAGAGCAUAUUCACAGUGGCAAAUAAAACAGGGCCUGGCAGUGUUUGAUGGUUUUAAGUCCAAGUGACACAGGCUGUAUCUGUGCUUGACAGA